GGCCAUUUUGAGCGUUGCUAGGAGACGCAGACGCCCCAGGAGGAGGAGGAGGAGGGGGGAGCAGGUCCAAAAUAGUUGCCUAGAAAGAAGCAUGGAAACAACAAUGAAGAAAUACUGCAGUUUCACAGUGUAUCUUGAAGAUUUAGAUCAAGAGAAAAAUAAAAAAGAAACAGAGAUCCAGAGCAUACAGGAGGCAUUUCAGAAGUUCAGAAGAAAACGCCAGAUGGUCUCCUUCAUCUACAAUGCAAUUUCAGUAAGGAAAUUUAUUUCUGAUUGAGAGCGAGAGUCAUAAAUAGAAACCUAUUAUCUGCAGUGAUGAUAGGAGAAGGGCCUUCUGUUAAAAUGAUCAAGAAUGAGGAGAGAAAAGGCCUAAUGUUGCAAUUAACUUCAGUUUGCGACCUGUCAAAAGCCUCCUACUUCAUGAGAAAUUCUCCACUGUGUAAAGGGAGGAUGGGUGGAGGAGAUACUAUUUGAAAAUCUAAUUCAAAGCACAUGCUGCCCUCAGAUAACACAGCAAGAGGUAAUCUGGUUCUACAGGUAAAUAUCCUUUCAAGAGAUUCAGAACUGAGCUAUGAUUAAGCUAAACAGAGCGUAUAAUUUCAUGAAUUAUCCACAUUUCCCCUCAUGAUUCAGUAGCGAGGCUGCUUUAUCUAAUUCCACAACCAGAGGUAAAUAAAUGCCUGUGAACUUCUGUCGUACA